GACGAACGCUGGCGGCGUGCUUAACACAUGCAAGUCGAACGGAAAGGCCCUGCUUGCCGGGUACUCGAGUGGCGAACGGGUGAGUAACACGUGGGUGAUCUGCCCUGCACUUCGGGAUAAGCCUGGGAAACUGGGUCUAAUACCGGAUAGGAGCCAUUUUUAGUGUGAUGGUUGGAAAGUUUUUUCGGUGUAGGAUGAGCUCGCGGCCUAUCAGCCUGUUGGUGGGGUAAUGGCCUACCAAGGCGGCGACGGGUAGCCGGCCUGAGAGGGUGGACGGCCACAUUGGGACUGAGAUACGGCCCAGACUCCUACGGGAGGCAGCAGUGGGGAAUAUUGCACAAUGGGCGCAAGCCUGAUGCAGCGACGCCGUGUGGGGGAUGACGGCCUUCGGGUUGUAAACUCCUUUCGCUAGGGACGAAGCUUUUUGUGACGGUACCUAGAUAAGAAGCACCGGCUAACUACGUG
rnacentral:rRNA from 1 species